CCUACGGGUGGCUGCAGUGGGGAAUAUUGGACAAUGGGGGCAACCCUGAUCCAGCCAUGCCGCGUGUGUGAAGAAGGCCCUCGGGUUGUAAAGCACUUUCAGUGAGGAAGAACGCCUGGUGGUUAAUACCCAUCAGGAAAGACAUCUCUCACAGAAGAAGCACCGGCUAACUCCGUGCCAGCAGCCGCGGUAAUACGGAGGGUGCGAGCGUUAAUCGGAAUUACUGGGCGUAAAGCGCGCGUAGGUGGCUUGAUAAGCCGGUUGUGAAAGCCCCGGGCUCAACCUGGGAACGGCAUCCGGAACUGUCAAGCUAGAGUGCAGGAGAGGAAGGUAGAAUUCCCGGUGUAGCGGUGAAAUGCGUAGAGAUCGGGAGGAAUACCAGUGGCGAAGGCGGCCUUCUGGACUGACACUGACACUGAGGUGCGAAAGCGUGGGUAGCAAACAGGAUUAGAUAUCCCGGUAGUC
rnacentral:rRNA from 1 species